GACCCUACGGGCGGCUGCAGUAGGGAAUAUUGGUAAUGCGCGAAAGCGCGAACCAGCAACGCCGCGUGUGCGAUGAAGGCCUUCGGGUUGUAAAGCACUUUUCGGGAGGAAGAGGAAGGACUGUACUCCCGGAAUAAGUCUCGGCUAACUACGUGCCAGCAGCCGCGGUAAUACGUAGGAGGCUAACGUUAUCCGGAUUUACUGGGCGUAAAGCGCGUGUAGGCGGUUCGGUAAGUUGGACGUGAAAGCUCCCGGCUCAACUGGGAGAGGUCGUUCAAUACUGUCGGGCUAGAGGAUGGUAGAGGGAGGUGGAAUUCCGGGUGUAGUGGUGAAAUGCGCAGAUAUCCGGAGGAACACCAGUGGCGAAGGCGGCCUCCUGGACCACUCCUGACGCUCAGACGCGAAAGCUAGGGUAGCGAACGGGAUUAGAUACCCCUGUAGUCAA
rnacentral:rRNA from 1 species